rnacentral:rRNA from 1 species
AGAGUUUGAUCCUGGCUCAGAAUCAACGCUGGCGGCGUGCCUCAGACAUGCAAGUCGAACGAUUAAACUUUCCUUCGGGAAAGAUAUAAAGUGGCGCACGGGUGAGUAACACGUAGGUAAUCUACCUUUGAGUGGGGAAUAACGUUCGGAAACGAACGCUAAUACCGCAUAAUGCAGCGGCACCUAAUGGUGACAGUUGUUAAAGGAGCAAUCCGCUUAAAGAGGAGCCUGCGGCAGAUUAGCUAGUUGGUAAGGUAACGGCUUACCAAGGCUACGAUCUGUAUCCGACCUGAGAGGGUGGUCGGACACACUGACACUGAAUAACGGGUCAGACUCCUACGGGAGGCAGCAGUCGGGAAUUUUGGGCAAUGGGCGAAAGCCUGACCCAGCAACGCCGCGUGAAGGAUGAAGUCUUUCGGGAUGUAAACUUCGUAAGAAUAGGAAGAAUAAAUGACGGUACUAUUUGUAAGGUCCGGCUAACUACGUGCCAGCAGCCGCGGUAAUACGUAGGGACCAAGCGUUGUUCGGAUUUACUGGGCGUAAAGGGCGCGUAGGCGGCGUGUUAAGUCAGCUGUGAAAUCUCCAAGCUU